CUUAACCGAUCCCAACCACAACGGACAUUGCGGAUCACGGUCCUGGCCAUAAGUCACCAAGAUCGCCUGAGCCUC
rnacentral:antisense_RNA from 1 species